GGACCCUUGGCGCAACGGUAGCGCGUCAGAUUCCAGCGCUAGAGGUUACCUGUUCGAAUCAGGUAGGGUUCA